rnacentral:rRNA from 1 species
AAGGAAUAUUGGGCAAUGGACGCAAGUCUGACCCAGCCAUGCCGCGUGAAGGAUGAAUGUCCUAUGGAUUGUAAACUUCUUUUAUGCAGGAAAAACAUCUCGGUCGUGAACCGGGACUGAUGGUACUGUAUGAAUAAGCAUCGGCUAACUCCGUGCCAGCAGCCGCGGUAAUACGGAGGAUGCAAGCGUUAUCCGGAUUCAUUGGGUUUAAAGGGUGCGCAGGCGGAAUAAUAAGUCAGUGGUGAAAUCUCCCGGCUCAACCGGGAAACUGCCAUUGAUACUGCUAUUCUUGAGUACAGUUGAAGUGGGCGGAAUGUGUCAUGUAGCGGUGAAAUGCUUAGAUAUGACACAGAACACCGAUAGCGAAGGCAGCUCACUAAGCUGUAACUGACGCUCAUGCACGAAAGCGUGGGGAUCAAAC